UGAGUAAAUUGGGCAGACGCCGGUUAAACCCGGAGGAAAGUCCGGACUUCAAAGAGCAGGAUAACGGCUAACAGCCGCCGAGGGCGACCUUAGGGAAAGUGCAACAGAAAUUAAACCGCCAUAAUGGUAAGGAUGAAACGGCGAGGUAAGAGCUCACCGGAAUGCAGGAGACUGCAUUGCCUUGUAAACCCUAUCCGAAGCAACGCCGAACGAAGUGGUCUGCUCGACCUAUACUUCAAAAGACGCGGCAUACACUUUUGUGUUGAGCUUAAUGGUAACAUUAAGCAAAGACAGAUGUCUGCCUUAAAUGACAGAAUCCGGCUUACAGAUUUACUCAACUU
rnacentral:RNase_P_RNA from 1 species